rnacentral:lncRNA from 1 species
GUAGCGUGAUGACGUAAGCGGCGUUGGCGUGGUGUGGUAGGAGUGGUUGCGCGUGUUGCGGCCCGGGUUCUGUUCGUAGGUUUACAAUUGUCGCGGGUAGUGGGGCGCCCCAGCUGCCAACUGCACGUGGUUUCUUUCUGGCGUUUGCCUAGUGUCCUGUCCAUUCCGCCCCGUUGGGAAGUGGGAAGCGGAGAGGUUCUGUGGGGACAGAGCUGGGAGUCCUGAAGGAGAAAGCGCGCAGCCGAGGGGCUCUGGAGUGCCUUAGAGCAGAGCUGCGGCCGCGGAAGGGGAGCAGCUGAGAAAGGAGGGCCGCUGCAGGCGGGGUUCGAACCGUGGGGUCUGGGCUGCUCCCGCGGAGGGCCUGGGCGGACGCGGGAUGCUGGGGGUCCGCUGCCUGCUGCGGUCCGUGCGCUUCUGUUCCUCCGCCCCCUUCCCCAAGCACAAACCUUCAGCCAAACUGAGCGUGCGGGACGCUCUCGGGGCUCAGAACGCGAGUGGGGAGCGCAUUAAGAUCCAGGUAUCUGGACCUUCGUCGAUUUGGAUCUGUGCCACAUGGAGGUUUUGGGAUGGGAUUUGAACGCUACCUGCAGUGCAUCUUGGGUGUUGACAAUAUCAAAGAUGUUAUCCCUUUCCCAAGGUUUCCUCAUUCAUGCCUUUUAUAGCUGGAAGAUUGGUUAAGGAAAAGCACCCCCCAUGGCAGAGACACUGCACAUGAUUGUGCAUACAGCAGAAUGCAUGUUUGGAUUUUAGAAAUGCAGAUUUCAAUAUGUAAUUGUUGUGCCAUAAGAUAUCAUAGAAAAAAUAUAAGUGGUUGUGAUUUUCUUAGAAAGUUGAGGGUAUUUCACGUAAGGAUGAGCUCCCGCAAGAAGAGGUACUUAUAGCAAGGGGACUCUCAAAUCCAUUACCUCAAUUAAGAAAUGAAGAAAUUGAAUUAGUCUCAAAGUUUCUUUUAAACUCUAAAACAGAAUGAGAUAAUGUAUUUUACGUUGUCUAUAAUCAUUAAAUCACUCCCUGUGUAAUUUGUGAGAACCAUCUAGUAGCUCGAAAUAAAAUAAUGUUGCAUCUUUUCUCCCUUGCCAUAUACUUUGUGAUAAAUCCUUAUCUCAUUUUCAGUACUUCAUUAAACAUUGCAGAAAAAAAUAUUCCUUAAGGUCUUAAUUGAUUUAAAGAAGUAGCUAUUCUGAAUUGAAAUCUCCUUUCAUUGAACUGGAUGAAAAAAUCAUGUUUAAUAACUGUUGCUUUUCAAUUUUCAAAGCUGUUGAGAUAUUACAUUAAGUAUUUCAACUCUUUAAUCACUGUUGUUAUAAUUUGUUUAUAUUUGAUGUUUAUAAUUUGUCUAAUAAAAUAGAUUUUUUUAAUAG